rnacentral:rRNA from 1 species
UACGGGGGGGGCAAGCGUUGUUCGGAAUUACUGGGCGUAAAGGGCUCGUAGGCGGCCAACUAAGUCCGACGUGAAAUCCCAAGGCUUAACCUUGGAACUGCGUCGGAUACUGGAUGGCUUGAAUUCGGGAGAGGGAUGCAGAAUUCCAGGUGUAGCGGUGAAAUGCGUAGAUAUCUGGAGGAAUACCGGUGGCGAAGGCGGUCUGCUGGGCAGUAGCUGACACUGAGGCGCGACAGCGUGGGGAGCAAACAGG